CCCGGCCGCCGGUGCACAGUCGCGCGGGGCCCGGCCCGGCGGCCCGGUGGCCCGGUCGACGGUGGACGCUGGUGCGCGGCGGGCGAGGGUCCCGGCAGGUCCCGCCGCCGCGACUGGGGCGCCGCGCCGCCGUCGCUGCAGACGGUUAUGGUAAUGAGCGGCUCUGUCUAGCGAGGAGCGUGUGAAACCCGUCAAUCCUGUUUGCCAUUUCCCCGUGGAUUUCCGAGGAGAGGUUCUGCAGGAUGCCCCCAGGUGAUCCUCCGACUGUGAAAAACCAAACCUCUUGCUGCCUGGCUCCCUAGGAAUCAAGGAGAGGCACAGACUGAAAAUCAGAGAGGGAAGGAGUAAGAUCAAGGACGACGAUUAGCAUCUGCAAAUUGAACUCUAUCUAAUUUGCAUGUUUAUUUCUUAGAAUUGUAAUUAAAUUUGUGUAAUAAAUGUUUUCCAUUUCAUUUGUACACUUAAAAUUUGGGUGACUGACA